rnacentral:rRNA from 1 species
UUCCCAUAGUAACGGCGAGUGAAAUGGGAAAAGCCCAGCGCUGAAUCCAUCGAUCACUGGUCGCUUGGAAUUGUAGCGUAUAGGUGCGGCUGUCCGCUCGUUUCGUGCACCCAAAGUCCCCUUGAGCGGGGCCAUAGUCCAAAGAAGGUGCUAGACCUGUACGGGUGGCGAGACGGUCGGUUGGUCGCUCCUUGGAGUCGGGUUGCCUGGGAUCGCAGCCCAAAGUUGGUGGUAGACCUCAUCUAAGGCUAAAUAUGGCCACGAAACCGAUAGCAAACAAGUACCGUGAGGGAAAGUUGCAAAGAACUUUGAAGAGAGAGUUCAAGAGGGCGUGAAACCGCCGAGAUUGAAACGGAUAGAGUUGACGAAACUCGAUCGCAUUCAUCCGAUCCGCCUAGCGGUUCGGCGGUUGUUGACUUCCUCGAUGAGGGCAACGCCGUCGCUGGCUGUUGGGUGUUAGAUGGGUGUAUUUGCGGUCGGUAUGCGCCGAGAGCUUUGCGAACGCAUGUUGGCGUUGAUGUAGUGGACCACUCCCUUCGGGCGUGGAACCCUGCACUGACUGAGGCAUGUCGUUUGUAGGGUGUUGCUGGUUGACGUCUCCGCUAUGGUGCGUCGGCUUUGUCGGACUGUUGUGGCUACUGGGUGAUCGCAUGCGAGCGCCUGUGGUUUAUGAUCGUACGAUGAGGUGCAGACGCGCUUGAGACGUGCAUCUCGGUGUGAACGUUGACCACCUAUCCGACCCGUCUUGAAACACGGACCAAGGAGUCUAGCAUAUGCGCGAGUCAUUGGGUGGUAAACCUAAAGGCGUAAUGAAAGUAAAGGCUGUCUUGUUACGGCUGAUAUGGGAUCUGUGUGGCUUUCGAGCCAUACGGCGCACCAUAGCCCCGUCCCGGUUGCUUGCAAUGGGGCGGAGGUAGAGCGCAUACGCUGGGACCCGAAAGAUGGUGAACUAUGCCUGAGCAGGAUGAAGCCAGAGGAAACUCUGGUGGAAGUCCGAAGCGGUUCUGACGUGCAAAUCGAUCGUCUGACUUGGGUAUAGGGGCGAAAGACUAAUCG